CGGCUCGGCGCGUCAGGCCUGGCUGGAGACUCCCACGGGGGCGGGGCUGAUGGGCGGCGACGGGCGGGGCCAAGGGGCGGUGCUGGGGCGUCCCCGUGGUACAGCUCCACCGGCCGUGAACACCGGGAACGCGCGCCGACAGGCGGAGAGCCAGCUUCUGCCUUAAAGAUCACCCGAGAGCUGAGAAACGUGUUGCCAAAAGAAAUUGCAUAAAAAUAUUCGCACUGGUGAGCUCUGGGUGGCGGGGUGAUUGUGAGCAGUUUUUACAGGCUACCGUGGCUCCUACUGUUUUUCACAAAGUAUUACAGGGACUACGUCGGGUCAAAAUUACUUCUGGUUAGCCGCGGGCCCCACGUCCCAGGGCUGAACAAGUCCGGUCUGCGGCAACACGAGGCUCUCCCGUGACAGGGCCUCGCCCAAGGCGCCCCCAGCAGAUCUCCUGGGAUUCAGAACUACCAAAUCGCCGGCAGACACGUGUCCAUCAGAGGAAGCCUGUGACAGCCGCCAGGAUAAAAUCAAAAGGACAAUGGCAAGUGAUAGCAAAGACGUAGAGAAGCUGGAAUUCUCCUAAAUCCUUGGUAGGAGUGUAAAAUGGUGCAGCUUCUUCUAUAAUUCAACAUCCCCCACCAUACUCCCAGGAACCCACCCAAGAGAAAUACGACCAGAGAGACUUGCAUGCAAACAUUCACAACAGCAUUGUUCACACCAACCAGAAUGUCCAUCAACCGCGGAUGCAUGAGCAGCAGGGAAACGGCCAUGAAAAGAAACUGCUGAGACAUGGGCCUACGUGGAUGAACCUCAAAAACGCUAGGCCAGGUGAAAGAUGCCAGACAAGAAAAUUCCAUGAUUCCAUUUAUGUGACACUUCUUAAAAAGGUCAAUCUCUAGAGAGAAAGCAAAUUCAUGUUUGCCAGGGGGUGAGGGUGGGAUCAACUGCAAACAGGCACGAAGGAACUUUUUUGGGUGAUGAAAAAAUAAAACUCUGGAUGUCGAACAUAUUUUAAAACUAGAUUGCAAUGAUAGUUGCAUAACUGUAUACAUUUAUUAAAAUCAGGGAACACUUACAAUGAGUGGAUCUCAUAGUAUAUUAUUUAUACCUCAAGCUAUUUUUAAAAAGUAAUAGGAACACCAUUAGGAGAUACACCUAAUGCUAAAUGACGAGUUAAUGGGUGCAGCACACCAACAUGGCACAUGGAUACAUAUGUAACAAACCUGCACAUUGUGCACAUGUACCCUAAAACUUAAAGUACAAUAAUAAAAAGAAAAAAAAAGUAAUAGGAGGAUAAAAGGGAAAGAGGCUGAUUCUGGCUGAAAGGAUUAUGGAAGGCCUUGUUAAGACAAUUAUCCAAAAUUUGAAAAUAAGGCAAAAGCAGGAGUAGGGGUUAUUCUUUCAAUUAAUUCCUGGGCACUUUUAGCAUGGCUGCCUAAAAAUUAUUUAAUUAUCUAGGACACUGUCCCUGUUUUGGUUAUUACUCCAUUCAAGCCCAGAUACUGUGAAGUUACAUAUUAACUUGUAGAUAAUGUCCAAAAGAAAAGAUAACCCCAAAGAUUAUGUUUUAUUGUCACCAGUUUGUUUGUUCAUUGAAAUCUAACCUAGCCAUCUUACUCUAGUUCUUUUUGGGUUUUAUGCAUAUAUGUGUGUACAAACACACACACACACCCCUAAUUCCUCAAAUGCUCUUGGCAUAAGUAUUUACCUCUUACUGGUCUCCUCCAGGCAUAAAAUAAAUCUUUGACCUUGAUCAUUUUAAUUUUAAAAAAGGUAAAAGUCAUGAAAAAAAGGAGUGUUUUGUCUGAAGAGAAUAAAGGGACAUAUAACUAAGGCAAUACACAAACCUGACUGGAUCCUGGUUCAGAAAGAACAGCUUGAUACAACUGAGGAAAUUAGAACAUGCUCUGGGUAUCAGAUGCUACUAUGGAAUUCCCCAUCAUUCUGGGUGUGGUAACAGUCAUGGUUAUGUAGGAGAAUGUCUUUACUCUUAAGAGCUGUGUGCUGAAGUAUUUAGCAGUAAGAUGUCAUAAUACUGCAAAUGGUUCAAUUUUUUAAAAAUAGAGGCACAAUAAAGUAAGUAUGGCAAAAUGUCAA